rnacentral:rRNA from 1 species
GGUUGCGGACAGUGUCUGGUGGGUAGUUUGACUGGGGCGGUCUCCUCCUAAAGAGUAACGGAGGAGCACGAAGGUUGGCUAAUCCUGGUCGGACAUCAGGAGGUUAGUGCAAUGGCAUAAGCCAGCUUGACUGCGAGCGUGACGGCGCGAGCAGGUGCGAAAGCAGGUCAUAGUGAUCCGGUGGUUCUGAAUGGAAGGGCCAUCGCUCAACGGAUAAAAGGUACUCCGGGGAUAACAGGCUGAUACCGCCCAAGAGUUCAUAUCGACGGCGGUGUUUGGCACCUCGAUGUCGGCUCAUCACAUCCUGGGGCUGAAGUAGGUCCCAAGGGUAUGGCUGUUCGCCAUUUAAAGUGGUACGCGAGCUGGGUUUAGAACGUCGUGAGACAGUUCGGUCCCUAUCUGCCGUGGGCGCUGGAGAACUGAGGGGGGCUGCUCCUAGUACGAGAGGACCGGAGUGGACGCAUCACUGGUGUUCGGGUUGUCAUGCCAAUGGCACUGCCCGGUAGCUAAAUGCGGAAGAGAUAAGUGCUGAAAGCAUCUAAGCACGAAACUUGCCCCGAGAUGAGUUCUCCCUGACUCCCUGAGAGUCCUGAAGGAACGUUGAAGACGACGACGUUGAUAGGCCGGGUGUGUAAGCGCAGCGAUGCGUUGAGCUAACCGGUACUAAUGAACCGUGAGG